rnacentral:sRNA from 1 species
ACUGGGCAUGGUGGCGCAUGCCUGUAAUCCCAGUGGCUUGAGAGGUUGAAGCAGGAGGACUGCAAGUUCAAAGCCAGCCUCAGCAAUUCAGUGAGGCUCUAAGUGAGACCCUGUCUCUA